rnacentral:rRNA from 1 species
GACCAAGGAGUUUAUUGUGUACGCGAGUCAUUGGGCGAUAAAAAACCUAAAGGCGUAAUGAAAGUAAAGAGUUGAAAGAUAAGAAAAUAAAUUUUUCCUUUUAUCUUUGAUUCUUUCUCUCAAGGGAAGAUGGAAAACUCUAAAUAUUUUUUAGAAUUCCCGCAUUCCCAGGGCGCUUGUUUCUCGCUUCGCGCGAGUCUAUGCGCACCUAGAGCGUACACGAUGAUACCCGAAAGAUGGUGAACUAUGCCUGGCCAGGACGAAGCCAGGGGAAACCCUGGUGGAGGUCCGCAGCGAUUCUGACGUGCAAAUCGAUCGUCAGAGCUGGGUAUAGGGGCGAAAGACCAAUCGAACCAUCUAGUAGCUGGUUCCCUCUGAAGUUUCCCUCAGGAUAGCUUGCGCUCGGAUGAAGAAGAGUCUCAUCCGGUAGAGCGAAUGAUUAGAGGCAUUGGGGUCGAAACGACCUCAACCUAUUCUCAAACUCCAAAUAGAUGAGACCCCCGGCUUUCUUAAAAUUGAAGCCGUGGGAUUCUGAUCAGAGUGCAAAGUGGGCCAAUUUUGGUAAGCAGAACUGGCG